rnacentral:rRNA from 1 species
UACGGAGGGUGCAAGCGUUAUCCGGAUUCACUGGGUUUAAAGGGUGCGUAGGCGGGCAGGUAAGUCAGUGGUGAAAUCUUCGAGCUUAACUCGGAAACUGCCGUUGAUACUAUCUGUCUUGAAUAACGUUGAGGUGAGCGGAAUAUGUCAUGUAGCGGUGAAAUGCUUAGAUAUGACAUAGAACACCGAUUGCGAAGGCAGCUCGCUGAGCGCUCACUGACGCUGAGGCACGAAAGCGUGGGGAUCAAACAGG